GGUGCUCCACACAGCGCUAUGGCUUCUAGUAAUGCUCUAUGCAAACUAAUAAUGCUCAUCUUAGUUACCAUCCUCUUUGCCUCCAAUAAUUUUGCCACAAGGAACUUGCUUUCUAUGCCUCAUCUCGCUCAUGUAAAUCAUGAUGAGAUGACCAAUUCUCCACCAACACCACCAAAAGAUGGACCAUGGGGUGGAAACGUUUGAGGAUAACACUGCCUUUCUUUCUUUUCUUUUGUUUUAACUAGACGUUUCCAUAACUUGUUAUUUCCAUACAUCUAAAAUAAGAAAUGAACUUGAGUGUAGUUGGGAUGAACAAUAUUAUCUUCUUUCGAAAUAUGUAUUUGUAUGGUCAAAAGGUGGAAAGCAUAGUGGUUCGAUGCAAGUUAGGUUGGUUGUACUUGAUCGUGGCUUGUUGAAUGAAAAUUUAAACUUUCAAUCUUGUGGAUAAAUAUGAAUAUACUUUUAAUUGUUGUUAGUUCA